AAGUUAAGCACGAAAAAUAAGCGGGGGAAGUCUGAAACCAGCAGCGAAGGUGAUAAUAACGAGGAAAAUGGCGUCAGCGUUCAACCCCCCGGGAACGAAGCGUCCUCCGAUCUUGAGCGUCCAAAGACUCAAGAGAAAACCAAAAGGAGCCGUAGGUCCCACCAACAAACCGAUAGUGACGUCGAAGUCACGACAGAAACGAAAAAUGAUGACGAGAAUGGAAGCUCUAUCAAAAAACGAAGGAAAAAAUCACAGCAGCCAACCACAUCUGAAAGCAUAUCAGACAACGCAGAAUACGAAGUUCUGAAGAUUGUGGGUCAGCGAACUAUAAAAGGACGCCGACAAUUCCUGGUUCAGUGGGUGGGUUAUGAUGAAAAUGAUAAUACUUGGGAAGAUGAAAACAAUCUGGACUGUUUAGAGUUAAUACAGGAAUAUUUAGCAGAAGUUGAUGACACUUCUGACAAAUCUCCCAAAAUAUCUAAAGUAUCUAAAGAUCGCAAAAAAGGCACUAAAGACCAAACAUCUAAGUCAGGAAGCCAAUCAACACCCACCUCUCCAAUAAAAAAAAACCAAUCUGGUCGCUCGAAGGCAUCUGACAAAGAAUCCAAGAUCUCAGAAAAGAGUAAAGAAAACAAUGAGCAGAUAGGUGAAGCAGAGGAUGAAGCAGAGGAUACAGAAGAAACCAAAGAAUUUGAGGUCGAAAAAAUUAUUGAAGUUCAUUUCGACAAGAAAAAUAAAAAACGAGAUUUCUUGAUACAUUGGAAGGGCUUCAGUACAACCGAGGACUCUUGGGAACCAGAGGAAAAUCUCAAUUGUCCAGAACUGAUAGCAAAAUUCAUGAACAAGGUAGAGGCAGCCAAACAAACUGAAUUACGAGAGCUACGAACAAACCCUGCUCAUACGAAGAGAUAUACCCUGAUGUCGCACGAUUCUGGGAGAAGAAUUUCCCGCCGCAAUGUGAACAAACAACGUGCAACAUACCAUCAGUGCGACGAAUAAAAGGCAAAACAAGAUAUAUCAUUGUUCACAUUACAUAAGAGGACUAUUCAUUGGAUUUGUUUUUUUUUAAGAAUAUUUUAAAAAGAGUGUUGAUAUAAAACGUAACUGGUGGAAAUGAGAACAAAAAAAUUAUGAUUUCCUACUAUUGCUCUAUGAAUAGUGCAACGAGUAUUUUCUUUGAAGAUUGCACAAUAAUGGCUAGUACUCCCAAACACAAGCUGCUAAAAUAAUUGCAAUCGAUUUCAAUGAUGUUCUGUGUUUCCACUUUUAUAUCAUAAGGACACAUAUUUAAUGUUGUUCUAGAAACUAGAGCAUAAAGUGUAUUUAUCAUCAGUAAUUGCAUCAAGUGCAUCCGUACUUGUUUCAAUGCAAAUUCGCCUGUUUAGAUUAUGGCAGUGCUUGCCUUUGCUUGAAGGUUGAAUUGAAAUAGAAAUUAAGUUCCAAUAUUUGUUAUUCUUCGAUUAUUCUUCAUAAAUAUUGCUAUGUGUGUAAAAUUUUCAGAUAUGAUAAGAUUUGAUAUGAUCUUUGAUAUCAUUUAUGUAUUAUUUAAAACGAUAUACGUUUUUAAACAUACAUACCUACUCAUGAUAAAGUAUCUAGUAUAUCUUUUGGCGAAUUUUGUCUUCUGGUUCGAACAUAGGUUCGUUAAUUAUUUUCAAUUACAAUUCUGAACACAACAGACCAUGCGUAGCAUAAGUAAUAAGAUAAGUUUGCAAAUAUCUUAUAGACGUAGACAUUGCAUUUUACACUGAUUGUGAGUAAAAUAAUUGGAGUAAUAAAAUAGAUGCUGAUACAUGGUAUUCACAUUACAAUGUAUGCAGGUAACAAUAAAUAAUAUUAGAAGAGCAUAAAUAGUUAGUAAUUAGAAAUUAGAUUAAGUUAAGUAUAAAAAUUAAAAAACAAAAAAUUAAAGAAAUAUAUGACAAAUUUAUUACAUGAUACGAAAACCUGAAUAAUACGUGCAUAUUUAUA
rnacentral:misc_RNA from 1 species